UUUUACGUUACAUAAUUUAUGAACGGCCCCUAAUGAUCGAACUAAUUCUUUAGUGAGCAAGCGAUUAAUUCGGAUAAAAUCCCUUCUCGACAAUUGCACAACCGCGCCGCAAGUUGAUCCCUUCGAUCCAGCUGACCUCUACGAAUAUGACGUGGUAGCAAAGAAGUCAUUUGCAGAAUUUAAAAAUUUUUUGGGGGGUCUGGGGAGAAGCCGAGAUUUUGUUGACUUUGUCCAAGUUUACUUUGAUCGUCGACCAGAUCUGGAAAACCAGCGUGAAAAUUUCACCACGGCGCUGUCCCACUACGGGUGCAUUUAUGUGCUAAAAAAAGGGAAAGAUAAGCACAUGGCUAGCUGCUUGCUUGGAAGACGCGUGUCCAAUCGUGACCCCUAGUAUCACCCAAAACAACCCGAGAGCCCAGAGUUAAGAGAAAGGCUGGUGUCAUGGAGCAAAAUCUGGAGUAGGAAAAAGUUGGAUCCAAUUAAUAGAAUCAAAAAGUACCCGUUUUCACAUAAUAAGUAUAUUUCAAAGUUCCCAUUCAAAAUUUUUUACUAUCACAAUGUCUGUUCCA